UUCCCCAUUUGACUAUCACAUGGUCUCCUAAUUGCAGAAUUUUUUGGUUAUGAUUGUAGGAUAGAUUAUUAAAGGUGCCAUGAUCUGAAGAGGGUUGAUUUUUCAGGGUUCUCCCUCUAUAUGAAAUGGCUGAACAGAAAAAA
ensembl:snoRNA